rnacentral:rRNA from 1 species
UCGUUUGUGUAAGCCCGCAGCUUAAACUGCGGGACUGCAGGCGAUACGGGCAUAACUUGAGUGCUGUAGGGGAGACUGGAAUUCCUGGUGUAGCGGUGGAAUGCGCAGAUAUCAGGAGGAACACCGAUGGCGAAGGCAGGUCUCUGGGCAGUAACUGACGCUGAGGAGCGAAAGCAUGGGGGAGCGAACAGGAUUAGAUACCCUGGUAGUCCAUGCCGUAAACGGUGGGCGCUAGGUGUGAGUCCCUUCCACGGGGUUCGUGCCGUAGCUAACGCAUUAAGCGCCCCGCCUGGGGAGUACGGCCGCAAGGCUAAAACUCAAAGGAAUUGACGGGGGCCCGCACAAGCGGCGGAGCAUGUGGAUUAAUUCGAUGCAACGCGAAGAACCUUACCUGGGCUUGACAUACACCAGAUCGGGCCAGAGAUGGUCUUUCCCUUUGUGGUUGGUGUACAGGUGGUGCAUGGUUGUCGUCAGCUCGUGUCGUGAGAUGUUGGGUUAAGUCCCGCAACGAGCGCAACCCUUGUCUUAUGUUGCCAGCACGUUGUGGUGGGGACUCGUGAGAGACUGCCGGGGUUAACUCGGAGGAAGGUGAGGAUGACGUCAAAUCAUCAUGCCCCUUAUGUCCAGGGCUUCACACAUGCUACAAUGGUCGGUACAACGCGUCGUGCGAGCCUGUGAGGGUGAGCUAAUCGCUGUAAAGCCGGUCGUAGUUCGGAUUGGGGUCUGCAACUCGACCCCAUGAAGUCGGAGUCGCUAGUAAUCGCAGAUCAGCAACGCUGCGGUGAAUACGUUCCCGGGCCUUGUACACACCGCCCGUCACGUCAUGAAAGUUGGUAACACCCGAAGCCAGUGGCCUGUCAAAAGAGCUGUCGAAGGUGGGACGGCGAUGGGAGAAGUCGUAACAGGUAGCCGU